AUUGAACGCUGGCGGAAUGCUUUACACAUGCAAGUCGAACGGCAGCACGGGGCAACCUGGUGGCGAGUGGCGAACGGGUGAGUAAUACAUCGGAACGUGCCCAAUCGUGGGGGAUAACGUAGCGAAAGUUACGCUAAUACCGCAUACGAUCUACGGAUGAAAGCGGGGAUCGCAAGACCUCGCGCGAAUGGAGCGGCCGAUGUCAGAUUAGGUAGUUGGUGGGGUAAAGGCUCACCAAGCCAACGAUCUGUAGCUGGUCUGAGAGGACGACCAGCCACACUGGAACUGAGACACGGUCCAGACUCCUACGGGAGGCAGCAGUGGGAAUUUUGGACAAUGGGCGCAAGCCUGAUCCAGCCAUUCCGCGUGCAGGAUGAAGGCCUUC
rnacentral:rRNA from 1 species